UACGGGGGGGGCAAGCGUUGUUCGGAAUUACUGGGCGUAAAGGGCUCGUAGGCGGCCAACUAAGUCAGACGUGAAAUCCCUCGGCUUAACCGGGGAACUGCGUCUGAUACUGGAUGGCUCGAGUUUGGGAGAGGGAUGUGGAAUUCCGCGUGUAGCAGUGAAAUGCGUAGAGAUGCGGAGGAACACCGAUGGCGAAGGCAGCCCCCUGGGCUAGCACUGACGCUCAGGCACGAAAGCGUGGGGAGCAAACAGG
rnacentral:rRNA from 1 species